UGAAAAGUUAUCUCGGCCAGGGUAACUCGGGGGAAGGAUUGUCUCGGGUAACCGAGACCAUAUAAACGGGCACUAAGUUGGAACAGUUUGUAAACGUAUCCAACUGAAGAUUGAACACAGGUCCCCUUAAGCGGAUCAUAAAAUAGAAGAAGAUCAUGCCCAAGACUAUCCGGAGAUGGAUGAGGAAGUCGAAGAUAUGGAUCCUGGCUGGGAUGACGAGGGAAAUGGUGAAGGAGACUACGAUGCUGAUUAUGACGACGGAUAUAACAGCGACGAAUACGACGACGACGAACUACCUGAUAAAGAAUUUGACGAUGAACAAUUCGAGGACGAACAAGUAGAUGAACUUCCAGAGGAAAUGUACCAAGAUGAGUAUGACGAGUAAGUGGGAGAACCUCAAAAACAAGUUUCUUUACAGCUGACGCUGUUUGGAGAAUGAUCGAAGCAUGUGUUGUCGAGGGACCUGUGUUUACAUGAAUUUUUAAACGAGGCUAGAGAAGACCUAAAAUUAUAAAUUUUGAGUAUUCUAUCCAGACCUUUUGGAAAUAUAUAUAUCAAUUACAGUGAUUUUUCCGCACACAUGAAAACAACAACUUGCGUUUUUAUAGUUUAAAAGACAUAAAAGACAGCAAGUGCUUAUCGAAGCAGUUGUGAUCUGAGCAUCUAUAGACUGAGACAUUAAGCUUGAAAUAAAGUAUCUUGAUUUGGUCUUUAAA
rnacentral:misc_RNA from 1 species